AGAACAAUUUUUAAACAGAUAAUCAAUCGCUAUAAAAUAGAACUAUCUAUAUUACUCCUAGUGUGGGAAAUUUACACACAUCUAAAGUGCAAAGUUAUGGAAUUUCCUUCUUUUUACAUCCAAUAUCCUACUA